GCCGGUAUGGUCUAAUUGGUAUGAUGCCUGGCUCUUAAGUGGGGCACACACCAAAAUGGUGUGGAUAUGGGAGUUCUUGGUUCAAAUCCAAGUACUGGCU